GCCCCGCCACGCCUUCGCUCCGCCGCAGCGAACUCACGACGCGCCCGCUUAGUUGCGCUUAACACAGCGGCUACGCGAGUGGAGCGACAUCAUUACAUCAUCUAAAUACGUAUAUAUAAUAUAAAAUACACUAGUCGCUUCCCAUAGCAUCGCUUGCUAUACAACCCUUACUCUUCAUUUGUUGCUAAAAGCUAGACAUGGGCGAUUUUGUUCAUAUAAUUCCCUAUUUAAAGCUUGUGUCUGCUAUUUGCUAUAACUUUUUGUUUUCAUGAGGUUGUGAAAGUUUUAUUUUUUUUUUGUUCCCCAUGUAAAUGUUUUACUUUGUUGUCUGUUUGUGAGUACUUUUUAUCAGCGUUUGUUAUCUGUUUACAGUGGUGUAACUAAGAUGUCUAGGACAAACAUUUAUACACAAGUUAUUUAAAUUUAUUAUAUUUUUAUUUGAAAUUUGUAAGAAUAACAUUUAAUUGCUUACCAUUAUGAGUACAAAAUUCCAUUCGAAAAAUUCGGAAUGAUCGAAAUAAUAUUUCGACAUGCCGGAUUCUCUAUAAAAUACAAUAAGAAAUGGUGGCAGCCCUACCCGUUGCAAGGGUGCACACAUCAAAAGGGAAUUGUGAUAACCCUAUGUUGCAUUACUGUAUAUUCAAUACUAUCUAAUAUUUCCCGUAGUCGCUUACAUACUUCCCACCGAAUAGUUGUGCCAUUUAACUUUCCUUUAUUUACAUUUCAAAUAGCAGACACGACCCGGCAUUUCUUAUAUUAUUUAUCACGUUAGAUAUUUCCCACAAAGUACUUAUAGUUAAUAGCAUUUUGUAACAUUAUUUUACGUUAUUAAAUUAUGUUAAACAACGUAAUAAUAUAGAAUUAUCAUGCGAUAUGUAUAAGAUGAAAUUAUAUAUGGAGACCGUGUAAUUCAGGCAUGUAGUAUAAAUUCAUUUUCAUAUGCUAUCACCGAGAGAGAUGUUUCAAAUUUACAUGAAAAAGUUGCAUAUAAUACUUUCCACCUAAAAGUGAAGGUUGUUUAUUUCAUAUUUAAUCAUUUUCACAUAUUCACAGCAUAUAUCGUAAUUCGUCUG